GCCUAGGUGGCUCAGUCGGUUGAGCGCCCGGCUUCGGCUCAGGUCAACAUCUCACAAUUUGUCAUGAUUUCAUGGUUCGUAGGUUUGAGCCCUGCUCUGUGCU
rnacentral:tRNA from 1 species